GUGGGGAAUUUUGGACAAUGGGCGCAAGCCUGAUCCAGCAAUGCCGCGUGCAGGAAGAAGGCCUUCGGGUUGUAAACUGCUUUUGUACGGAACGAAAAGGCUCUGGUUAAUACCUGGGGCUCAUGACGGUACCGUAAGAAUAAGCACCGGCUAACUACGUGCCAGCAGCCGCGGUAAUACGUAGGGUGCAAACGUUAAUCGGAAUUACUGGGCGUAAAGCGUGCGCAGGCGGUUUUGUAAGACAGACGUGAAAUCCCCGGGCUCAACCUGGGAAUGGCGUUUGUGACUGCAAAGCUGGAGUGCGGCAGAGGGGGAUGGAAUUCCGCGUGUAGCAGUGAAAUGCGUAGAUAUGCGGAGGAACACCGAUGGCGAAGGCAAUCCCCUGGGCCUGCACUGACGCUCAUGCACGAAAGCGUGGGGAGCAAACAGGAUUAGAAACCCCGGUAGUCC
rnacentral:rRNA from 1 species